AUUGAACGCUGGCGGCAGGCCUUACACAUGCAAGUCGAACGGCAACACGGGUAAUUUCGCUUCGUGGCGAGUGGCGGACGGGUGGGUGAUACAUCUGUAGGUGUCUGGCUGUGGGGGGGAGCUAGGUGAUAGCAGCGUUAGUACAUACUGCAAAACGCGGCAGGAACCGGGAGGCGGUCGUUCCGCGCGCUUGCCGUUUGGCCGAUGCCUGAUUAGCUAGUUGGUGGGGUAAGGGCCUACCAAGGCGACGAUCGGUAGCUGGUCUGAGAGGAUGACCAGCCACACUGGGACUGAGACACGGUCCAGACUCCUACGGGAGGCAGCAGUGGGGAAUAUUGGACAAUGGGCGAAAGCCUGAUGCAGCAAUGCCGCGUGUGUGAAGAAGGCCUUCGGGUUGUAAAGCACUUUUGUCGGGAAAGAAAGCAUUAACCCUAAUACCGUCGGUGAAUGACGUUACCGGAAGAAGAAGCACCGGCUAACUACGUG
rnacentral:rRNA from 1 species